rnacentral:rRNA from 1 species
GACGAACGCUGGCGGCGUGCUUAACACAUGCAAGUCGAACGGAAAGGCCCUGCUUGCGGGGUAUGCGAGAGGCGAACGGGGGAGUGAAACGCGGGAGUAAUGUGCUCCACUUUGGGGGAAGACUUGAGAAAUGGGGGGAAUACAGGAGAUGGGCCAUUUUGCUGGUGGGUGUUGGAAGGUUUGUUCGGGUUGGGAGGGGCGCGCGGCCUGUCUGCUUGUUGGUGGGGUAGUGGCUUACCAAGGAGGCGACGGGUGGCUGGCCUGAGAGGGUGACCGGCCACAUGGGGCCUGGGAUACGGCCCGGACUCCUACGGGGGGAAGCAGGGGGGAAUAUUGCACAAUGGGCGGAAGCCUAUUGCAGCAACGCCGCGUGCGGGAUGACGGCCUUCGGGUGGUAACCCGUUUUCGCCUGUGACGAAGCGUUAGUGACGGUAAUGGGUAAAGAAGCACCGGCUAACUACGUG